GACAGAGGGGGCAAGCGUUGUCCGGAAUCACUGGGCGUAAAGCGCGCGUAGGCGGCCCGACAGGUGCGGUGUGACAGCCCACGGCUCAACCGUGGGAGGCCACUGUAGACGGUCGAGCUCGAGCCGUUCAGAGGUGAGUAGAAUUGCCGGUGUAGGAGUGACAUCCGUAGAGACCGGCAGGAAUACCGAUGGGGAAGCCAGCUCACUGGGAACGUGCUGACGCUGAGGUGCGACAGCGUGGGGAGCAAAC
rnacentral:rRNA from 1 species